UACGGGGGGGGCAAGCGUUGUUCGGAAUUACUGGGCGUAAAGGGCGCGUAGGCGGUUCGCUAAGUUGGAUGUGAAAACUCUGGGCUCAACCCAGAGCCUGCAUCCAAAACUGGCGGGCUAGAGUUCUGGAGGGGGUAGCGGAAUUCCUGGUGUAGCGGUGAAAUGCGUAGAUAUCAGGAGGAACACCGGUGGCGAAGGCGGCUACCAGGACAGAAACUGACGCUGAGGCGCGAAAGCUAGGGGAGCAAACAGG
rnacentral:rRNA from 1 species